CAGGGAGCUAACUAUUAUCAAACAGAGAAUGUCUGAAAGAGUGGAAAGCUUUCUCAAAGUAAUUUCCUGUGCAGUGGCCCUGUAGCCCAUUUGCAAGAAUCGAGCUCAGGCCAUUCUGGCUACUGGAUAUGUUCUGCUAAGUACCUGCCUAUUCUCGGCCAGUCCCACCAAAUCAAUAUGUGACACCGCGAUAUAGAAGCCCGUGGGACCUCCCUUGACCGUUAAGCCAGUUUGCUUUCAUCGAAAGACAUAUUGCAGCCAUGAUGUUUGCGUCGCUGCUGCAGCCGUUAUAUAACUGACCACUGAAGACAAUUUUCAAGCUACUUUUUUCGGUAGAACAGGAACACUAUGCCACUCUGAUAAGGACAUGCCGUUUGUAGCCUGAAACUACCGGAGGCGGACAUCUUAGGCUAAAAGAAUGGCAAGAUAGGUUUGUGGGCUCUGUUGCUGUCAGCGCAAGGUUUAUCGCCUGCAACCACGCUAACGCCGGUAUCGACAACACCAAGCAUCAGCAAUCAAGCUCGGAUACUCAACGUCAUCAUCGAACCGCCUCCCUUCCGAAGCCAUGGAUUCGUGACGUCACCGGCCAUUACCCCUAUAAAGACUGUCCCGCACCCGAGGAUCUUCAGUGGGCACGGCGAAAGCGCCUGGCGCAGGUCGUUCACCAUGCGCCUCAUCUUCUUUGUACAGUUCUACAAGAAUGCAGCUACCGUGGCCGAGAAUCGAUAACGCGACCUCAUGCUCGGCAGCAAAGUGCAAUUUCUCGUAAGGCACAGCCCCAGGU